AUGUUCUCGCCCCUCCCCCUCCGCGGGCGGGCGCUCCCUCCCCGGCGCCCGUUUAUUACUCGCUUCACGACUGGGUGACACCACUAGAAUGCCUCGCCCCGACGCCCUUUUGGCGACACCGCCGUCUCUCGUCUCGCUACACCUCAGACAAGCUGCUUCCCCGUGGCCAGACGGUCCUUAAAAUGGCCAGCGCCAGCCAUUCCACCGACUCUACUUGAAGAUGUUUACGUCUCCACAGACUCCCCCCACGCCCAUAACCGAAGGAGACCAGGGAGGCGGAGCUUGGCCUCAUCACGUGAUCGGACCCAGGGCAAGGCGGAUCGCACUACUUCCUCGCUUGGUCUCUCGGCGGAGGAACACCAAACCACCAACUCACCGGAAGCGCGGCUCCAACGCCCCCGGGGAGAUCGGCCGGGCUGCUGGGUGACCUGGCUGCCCUGCCCGCCGAUCUGAGAACCCGUAAGCGGGAUCUUGACCGCGGGGAAUGGUAUCUGGAGCCCGCAAACUGCCGCCUCAGCGCGUGCUGCGAGGAAGUGCUCCUCUGCUGUCCAAUCAGCGUCGAGAAGCCGUUUUAACGUCCCUCCCUCUUCCACCCCUCCUUCCCCGCUCGCUAGUGUCUGCCCCCUCCUCCUCCCGUCGGCUCGACCGAGUUCGACCCUUCUGGGACACCGUCGCCCGCGCUCUCGUCUUGGAGUCCGGCCGCGACCUCUCCUGGCAGUAUGGCCAGCUCAGAGGCUGAAUGGGUAACAAUUGCCAAUAACCUCCUUUUUAAAUGUCACAUACACCUGAGGAUACACGAACUUCAAGACUGUGAUGCUAAUGUUUUUAUUGCCCUUUAUCAAUCCAUUUUGGGAGAAAAGGUACCAGACCUCAUAGUUCUUCCCAGGAAUCAAGAAGACGAGGCCCACAAUGUCCAAGCGGUAAUUGAUUCACUCGCUUUGGAUUACCUUCAGGUCAGCCUGUCUCACAUAACAGGAGAAAACAUAGUGAAAGGGGAUAAUGAAUCUAUCAGGAAUCUCCUAGAAAUAUUUGAUGGAUUGCUGGAUUAUCUGACAGAACACAUCAGUGAAUCGUCUCCCAACAAAAGUGAAACUGAGCAGUAUUCUAAAGAUUCUCAUGGAGAAGAAGCUGGGGAGGACCUAGAACGUACCGAGGAGGCGAAGUGGAGAAACGCUUCUUUUAUGAGGUGUUCCUUCUCAUCGGACACUUUGGGCCCCACCUGGGAUGAAGACGAAGCUGAGUCCACAGGUGAAAUAAUUAGGCUGGGAGACACUGCACAUACCUUUUCCCAAAGAAGUAAUGGUGCUCAAAAUUCUAAGGACUUACGGUCUAGAAAAGCCUCGGCUUCACCAGGCGUUGAGCCACCUGAGGAAAUGUUGAACCCUGGCCCAUUGGGUUUUCUUUCCCAGAAUGGGCCACCUUGUGAGGCAGCAUCAGAAACUCCUCCUAUGAGCAUGGUUCCAAGUGCCAGGAAGCUAGGCGAGCCGAUCCGAGCUGCCAUUCCUUUACAUCCUCCCUACCAUCCUUCUGAGCCUAGAGCACCAUGUCCCAUAGGCAAAGAAUACCUCUGGUCAAGUCGCUACUUGUCUACGCCGACUUCUGGAGAGCACAUGGCACCUUCUGUGGAACCAGAUGAUGCUUUCUUAACUUCUACCUUAUUUAAAGAUGAUGAUCAGGAAACAUAUCUACCUAAACCUGAAGCCACCAGGACAAGGAAGCCUUCUAAAGGAGAAAGAGAUGAAAACAGAGCUGCGAUCCCCUCAGAGCAUCUGCCUUUCUCUCAGAAGGCCAGGAAGCCGUUAACAGAACAAGAACUGCACGCCAUGUCAGAGAAACUCUCUCAGCGGCUCUCUGAACUAGACUGGAUGUUAAAAACUGCCCUGGGUGAUCGAGGAACGGGCGAAACUGAUGGUAAUGAUGGUGAUGGCGGAGGUGAGGAGGUGCGCAGUGGGAACGAGGAGAUGCUCUCGCAGCACAGUGACAGCGUCAUGGAGUACGGACCAAAGAAGCCGAGGCCAGGAUUUUCUACGUGCAGAAAGGCACCUUACAGGUCCCAUUCACUGUCGCCAUCUUCAGUGAACAAACACAGACAAUUAGAGAAAGAGAAAAAAAGGCAGCACAAAUCUAAAGGGACAGACUCAUGCCAUUUCCAAGCAAAGGCACUGACUGAAGCAUUUGAACGGGAACUAAGAAAACAUAAAGUUCAAGAGAACGUUGGACUUCGAGGGAUAAGGGAGGAGGAGGAAGAGGAAGAGGAAACAGUGGGGGAAGUCAUACAGAGAAGUCGUUCCUAAAGGAACUUCCAAACGGAGUCAGGUCCAGAAGACUUACUCCAGAAAAACUGCAGCUCCAAGUCCAAAAGGAGAUGGUCGCCUGAAGUCAAGCAAGGCGUCUCCGAUGAAAGUAAGUGAACACAGUCUGCUAUCCCUGAUGCUGGAACAGUUUCCAUUUCUCUAUGUUUCUGACCCAACACUGACCAAAAUGUGGAAGCAGCAGAUGGCCCAGGUUGAACAACUCAAAAGGGAAGCGCAGAGAGAGAACCGAUCCAAGAAGAAACUCCAGGAUGAAAUAGAAGAAGCCCUGAGAAGGCAUGACCUCCUCACUGCUCUUGUCAAGAAAGAAUAUGACCAUAACAAGAGGCUGCAAGACUUCAGGGACCGAAUUCAGAGACAAAGGUUGACCCAAUCAAAGAUAAAAGAAAAUCGUCAUCAAAGUGUUCGUGCCCGGAAAUAUUAUGAUGAUUACAGAGUUCAGUUACGUGCAAAAAUGAUGAAGAUGAGAACCCGGGAAGAAAUGAUCUUUAAGAAACUGUUUGAAGAAGGUUUACAAAUUCAGAAACAAAGACUACGAGACCUAAGAAACUACGCCAAAGAGAAACGCAACGAAGAAAAGAGACAGCACCAGAAUGAGCUGGACUCGAUGGAGAACCACUAUAAGGACCAGUUUUCAUUGCUAGCAGAAGCCAUCUCACAGGAACGUCAAGAACUCAAAGUGAGACAGAAAUUCCAGGCUCAGACAUUACAUAAGGUGAAGAGGGAGCUGAGAGCUAAAAUGGAGAAGGAGAUUCAGCAACUGCAGCACAUGAUAACGCAGAACGACGAUGAUGCUUUCUUCCGGGAGCUAGAAGCUGAGCGCUUCAAAGCUCGGCUGCAGUUGGCUUCCUUCCAGUACAGUAAAAAUCCUUUCCCAAGAGGCCAAACUUCAUAGGUGAAGUUUCUAGACACCUUAAUAUGAACAGAGCUAGACCUGAGCCAGUAAACAGUCUAAACCAGAAUAUGCCUUAUUUAUGUAUUCAUGUUAAAAUUUAGAAUUAUUUUAAAUAAAAACUUUCUCUUAAAGCUUA